UUUGAGCGAGCCGAGCCACAGCGGCCGUUCGGGCGCGCGAUCCCGCGCAUAGGUUUCGAUCAGCGCCUGCGCCUC
rnacentral:antisense_RNA from 1 species